rnacentral:rRNA from 1 species
AUCAGCCGCGGUAAUUCCAGCUCCAAUAGCGUAUAUUAAAGUUGUUGCAGUUAAAAAGCUCGUAGUUGAAUUUCGGGGUUCUACCGUUGGUCGGGCUUUGUCUGUACUGGCGUGUAGAAUUUCUACCUUCUGGGGAACCAUCAUGUUAUUAAUUUAACGUGGUGGGAAACCAGGACCUUUACCUUGAAAAAAUUAGAGUGUUCAGAGCAGGCUUAUGUCUGAAUACAUUAGCAUGGAAUAAUAAAAUAGGACGGUGGUCCUGUUUUGUUGGUUUCUGAAUCACCGUAAUGAUUAAUAGGGAUAGUUGGGGGCAUUAGUAUUCAAUUGUCAGAGGUGAAAUUCUUGGAUUUAU